GAUGAACGCUAGCUACAGGCUUAACACAUGCAAGUCGAGGGGUAACGAGAGGGAAGCUUGCUUUCCUUGUCGACGACCGGCGCACGGGUGAGUAACGCGUAUCCAACCUGCCCCCAACUAGGGAAUAACCUUGCGAAAGUAAGACUAAUACCCUAUAAUUUCCUCAGAUGUCAUCUGACGAGGAAUAAAGAUUUAUCGGUUGUGGAUGGGGAUGCGUCUGAUUAGCUUGUUGGCGGGGUAACGGCCCACCAAGGCAACGGACAGUAGGGGUUCUGAGAGGAAGGUCCCCCACAUUGGAACUGAGACACGGUCCAAACUCCUACGGGAGGCAGCAGUGAGGAAUAUUGGUCAAUGGGCGGAAGCCUGAACCAGCCAAGUAGCGUGCAGGAUGACGGCCCUAUGGGUUGUAAACUGCUUUUAUACAGGAAUAAAGUUAGCCACGUGUGGUUAUUUGUAGGUACUGUAUGAAUAGGGACCGGCUAAUUCCGUGCCAGCCGCCGCGGUAA
rnacentral:rRNA from 1 species